GGCCGCUUAGCUCAGCUGGUUAGAUCGCACGCUUCACACGAGACGCGAAGUGUCUGCCUGUGUACGCGUGAGGCCGACGGUUCGAGCCCGUCAGCGGUCA